rnacentral:rRNA from 1 species
UACGAAGGGGGCUAGCGUUGCUCGGAAUCACUGGGCGUAAAGGGCGCGUAGGCGGCGUUUUAAGUCGGGGGUGAAAGCCUGUGGCUCAACCACAGAAUGGCCUUCGAUACUGGGACGCUUGAGUAUGGUAGAGGUUGGUGGAACUGCGAGUGUAGAGGUGAAAUUCGUAGAUAUUCGCAAGAACACCGGUGGCGAAGGCGGCGACCUGGUCCUUUACUGACGCUGAGGCGCGAAAGCGUGGGGAGCAAACAGG